GUAGGGAAUAUUGGACAAUGGGGGCAACCCUGAUCCAGCGACGCCGCGUGAGUGACGAAGGCCUUCGGGUCGUAAAGCUCUGUUGCAAGGGAAAAACAAAAUGAUGGUACCUUGCUAGAAAGGAUCGGCUAACUUCGUGCCAGCAGCCGCGGUAAGACGAGGGAUCCUAGCGUUGUUCGGAAUUAUUGGGCGUAAAGCGGGUGUAGGUGGCUUUGUAAGUCAGGUGUGAAAGCCUGGGGCUUAACCCCAGAAGUGCAUUUGAUACUGCGAAGCUUGAGUGCUGGAGAGGCUAUUAGAAUUCCUGGUGUAGUGGUGAAAUACGUAGAUAUCAGGAGGAAUACCGGAGGCGAAGGCGGAUAGCUGGCCAGACACUGACACUCAGACCCGAAAGCGUGGGGAUCAAACAGGAUUAGAAACCCUUGUAGUC
rnacentral:rRNA from 1 species